rnacentral:lncRNA from 1 species
GUCUUCUUAGGAUGAUCAAAAACCCACCCUAGAUUGCUCACCCAGUAGAGAAAGCAGAGGAUGCCUAUUGUUUUACGGUUUCAUCUCAAGCAUGGCACAGCCUUAAGACUCUGCGUGGAAUGUCCAUGUGCAUCCGGUCAGAGCCUCUCUGCCUCCAGUACUGUGAGUUGGAGAAACCUUUCCUAUUUAUAACUCAUUCAGUCUGAAGUGUUUGGUGAUAGCAAAAGGAAAUAGAAUGAGUGGAAGAGGACAGGGGAGUAACACGUGGCAGGAGAUACAUGUGGUGAGAGAGUCGGAAACACAGGGAUCUAAGCCAGCUCCAGAGACACCCGUGGAUGAAGACCAGGAGACAAGAUGCUCUGCCCCAUAAGAAGAAUGGAAGUUUGGGGAGAUGCCCCAUCAGGGGUGUCCAGAGACUAUGACCCUAGAGGGCAUCGCUGUCCCCAGCAAAGUUUGUUUGCCGAAGAGCUUCCAUGUCUUUAACUUGAUGUGAGCCAAGAGGCUGAAUUCGUUGCAAACUCAACAUGAAAUGAUUUCAAAAAAACAAGCUUCCCCAGAAACAGGAGCAGACAGGCGGGCCUCGUGGUCAUCAAGGAGCAAAAUGGUUGUAACCAUUGACUGCUCCUCAAAUACGCAGUCCUCAGAGAAAGACCUCCUGUAAGAUUUGCCUCUCUACACCUUUGUCGAUCUGUACUUCAGUGGUGACAUAGACCAGGGCAUUCUGAAUGUUCCAUGGAUUCUGGGGGCCAGGUGGACAGCAUCAUCUGCUUUGUAGCCAACCACCUCCCAGGGCAUUGGUUAUAGGAUGCAAGCUCCUGACUGAGAGGAGAGGCAUGCUCACAGUAUUGGUGCAGACCACAGAUCUUACCUCGGGUGAGCGCUCUCAGCAUGAGUUGGUGGGUUUGUUGGUUGUGUAAAAGCUCACUCAUAGUCGUGUGUGGGUUGACUGUUCUAGCUUCUGAUCUAAUUUGAUGAAAGACACUGGGUGAUUUUAUUUGCUUAUUCAUCAACGUGUUUCAUCCUGAAGACAGAUAAGAAGGUUGGGUGAGCAGGGAAACACCCACCAUGACGUUAUUCUGCCAUUCAUAGAGUGUAUAUGGGGUCAGCAUCCGCCAUACUCACAAAUGAUGCUGGCCCCCAACCCUGGAGAAGUUUCUUUGCAGAUGGAUGAACAGUCUACAAAUAAAGGAAUAAUUACCAGUGCAGAACAGUGCUGUGAAGGUUCUCAAAAAGAAGUUGUGGGGACAGCCUGUGGGGUGGCCUGCUAGGAGGUAUAGUGGGGAAGACUCUAGGGAGGAAAGCCAUCACUGAGAUUUGCCUGUGAGAAAGCAGUUUGUCCUGUAGAGAGCUGCAGGAGAAGCAGAAAGAGGGCAUGGGUGGAGGCCUGGAGGUGGGAAAACCUUUCUGUGCUUUAAGUACUACGGUAAGACCCACGAGCCCUGUUCUUUUCCUCAACUACCCCCUCCCCCCAUCUUUCUUUCUCCUCUCUCAGAACAGGCUUCUCCUCCAUAGGGUCAGAUGGUCUGCUCAAAUUAAGGAGCUACCAUGCCGAGUGACAGCUAGUGCUACUGGAGCAACGGCAGGUUUAUGGCCAUGCUCAGGGAAGGAACAACCUCAGAUGUGACUGAAUUCAGUGCACAUGCCAGAGCAACACUGUGGAAAAAACAACAUAUAUACUUGUGUACACACACACACACACACAUGGUGCUCCCUAAGGCAUCCAAGGUGAGAUAAGUGUGAGAAAGGCUGGUCUAAACAUUAAUCAGUAAGUUUAUUUACUGCAGCCCCACUCAGAGCUAUGAAGUUGCUGAUACGCCCUGGGAAUGUUGAGUGGGAUGUGGCCAGCAGCAUAGCCCAAGUGCCUUUGACCACAGAAUCCUCCUUCAGGGGCAUUUAUUAACACAGCUGGGAUGGAGUACUCUAAAGGAACUUGCUCUGAAAAAUGUUGAUCGUGGCAAAGUGUUAUUUAUAGAGAGGGAAACAGAACCCCAGAAAGGGAGAGGGACUAGAUUAAGGUCACAUAGUUUUGUCGUGGUAUAAGCCAGGUCAUCCAUUCCAUCCUGAAUGUGUCUGUUAUAUCACCCUAUGGAUGACCUAUGCUCACCCCUGACGUGACCCCUCCCCCUGAUGCUCAUUGACAUUGUUAUGGAAUGCAAGUGGCCAGCCAGAGAUAUCCAGCUUUCUGAGGGGCUGCUCACUCCCCAAGGAUGACAAUAAGCUGAUAUGGUCAUCCUUGUAACAGUUGUGGAGGUAUCCCUAGGUGACAGGUGAUGUGUAGAAACUGCAAAUGCUAUGGAGAGAUGGUGUCCUGGUAGGUUUCUUUCAGCUUGACACAAACCAAAACAUAUCGGGGAAGAGGAGUUCUUAAUUA